rnacentral:rRNA from 1 species
GGUAGCCGGCCUGAGANGGCGACCGGCCACACUGGGACUGAGACACGGCCCAGACUCCUACGGGAGGCAGCAGUGGGGAAUAUUGGGCAAKGGAGGAAACUCUGACCCAGCGACGCCGCGUGNGGGAUGAAGGCCUUCGGGUUGUAAACCSCUUUCAKURGGGAAGAAGCGAAAGUGACGGUACCUNCAANAGAAGCACCGGCUAACUAUGUGCCAGCAGCCGCGGUAAUACAUAGGGUGCAAGCGUUGUCCGGAAUUAUUGGGCGUAAAGAGCUCGUAGGUCGUUUGUUACGUCGGAUGUGAAAACCUGAGGCUCAACCUCAGGCCUGCAUUCGAUACGGGCAAACUAGAGUUUGGUAGGGGA